rnacentral:rRNA from 1 species
UGCAGUCGAGCGGACAGAUGGGAGCUUGCUCCCUGAUGUUAGCGGCGGACGGGUGAGUAACACGUGGGUAACCUGCCUGUAAGACUGGGAUAACUCCGGGAAACCGGGGCUAAUACCGGAUGCUUGAUUGAACCGCAUGGUUCAAUUAUAAAAGGUGGCUUUUAGCUACCACUUACAGAUGGACCCGCGGCGCAUUAGCUAGUUGGUGAGGUAACGGCUCACCAAGGCAACGAUGCGUAGCCGACCUGAGAGGGUGAUCGGCCACACUGGGACUGAGACACGGCCCAGACUCCUACGGGAGGCAGCAGUAGGGAAUCUUCCGCAAUGGACGAAAGUCUGACGGAGCAACGCCGCGUGAGUGAUGAAGGUUUUCGGAUCGUAAAACUCUGUUGUUAGGGAAGAACAAGUACCGUUCGAAUAGGGCGGUACCUUGACGGUACCUAACCAGAAAGCCACGGCUAACUACGUGCCAGCAGCCGCGGUAAUACGUAGGUGGCAAGCGUUGUCCGGAAUUAUUGGGCGUAAAGCGCGCGCAGGCGGUUUCUUAAGUCUGAUGUGAAAGCCCCCGGCUCAACCGGGGAGGGUCAUUGGAAACUGGGGAACUUGAGUGCAGAAGAGGAGAGUGGAAUUCCACGUGUAGCGGUGAAAUGCGUAGAGAUGUGGAGGAACACCAGUGGCGAAGGCGACUCUCUGGUCUGUAACUGACGCUGAGGCGCGAAAGCGUGAGGAGCGAACAGGAUUAGAUACCCUGGUAGUCCACGCCGUAAACGAUGAGUGCUAAGUGUUAGAGGGUUUCCGCCCUUUAGUGCUGCAGCAAACGCAUUAAGCACUCCGCCUGGGGGAGUACGGUCGCAAGACUGAAACUCAAAUGAAUUGACGGGGGGCCCGCACAAUCGGUGGAGCAUGUGGUUUAAUUCCAAGCAACGCAAAUAAACCUUACCAGGGUCUGGACAUCCAUUUGACAACCGCUAUAGAUAGGG